UACGGAGGGUGCAAGCGUUAUCCGGAUUCACUGGGUUUAAAGGGCGCGUAGGAGGGUAGGUAAGUCAGUGGUGAAAUCUUCGAGCUUAACUCGGAAACUGCCGUUGAUACUAUCUAUCUUGAAUACCGUGGAGGUGAGCGGAAUAUGUCAUGUAGCGGUGAAAUGCUUAGAUAUGACAUAGAACACCAAUUGCGAAGGCAGCUCGCUACACGAAUAUUGACUCUGAGGCACGAAAGCGUGGGGAUCAAACAGG
rnacentral:rRNA from 1 species